CAUUUGGAUUUUUUAUGCAGCCUAUAUGUCGUCACGUGUCACAUUGAGUUGAUCCUAUCUGAAAAGGAAGAAUCUUUCAAAAAGGAGCCGGAGGCUCAGCUGGCUGCAAACAAUUCCGAAAGACGAAGGAAGGCAUGAUUAGCCUGUAAUGUGUUUCGAGAUUAUAUAGUUGAAUCAACAAGUUUUGAGAAAGAAAAAUGAACUUUGACCUAUGUCUUGUUUUCCUUUUCGAGAAAUUUUCUUGUUUAUUUCGUAUCUUGUUGGAUUGUUGAAUUUUUUCAAAUGUUAUGAGCAUGACUUUAUUUUGGUACCUAUGAUGUGAAGUCAUUAUUGCUUUCGAUUAUUCGAGUUUAUCGACAACAUUAAAUCACAUCUUAUUUUCUUCGAAUGAAUGUAAUUGUUUAUUUA